rnacentral:rRNA from 1 species
UGAGGAAUAUUGGACAAUGGGCGAAAGCCUGAUCCAGCCAUGCCGCGUGAAUGAAGAAGGCCUUAGGGUUGUAAAGUUCUUUCAAUUGUGAAGAUAAUGACGGUAGCAAUAGAAGAAGCUCCGGCUAAAUUCGUGCCAGCAGCCGCGGUAAUACGAAUGGAGCAAGCGUUGUUCGGAAUCACUGGGCUUAAAGCGUAUGUAGGCGGACAAGGAAGUCAGAAGUGAAAUCCCCGGGCUCAACCCGGGAACUGCUUUUGAAACUCCUUGUCUAGAAUCCUGGAGAGGUUAGGAGAAUUCCGAGUGUAGAGGUGAAAUUCGCAGAUAUUCGGAGGAAUACCAGUGGCGUAGGCGCCUAACUGGACAGGUAUUGACGCUCAGAUACGAAAGCGUGGGGAGCAAACAGG